rnacentral:rRNA from 1 species
UACGGGGGGAGCAAGCGUUGCUCGGAUUUACUGGGCGUAAAGGGCGCGUAGGCGGUCAGCACAAGUCAAUUGUGAAAUCUCCGAGCUUAACUCGGAAAGGUCAACUGAAACUGUGCGACUAGAGUGCGGAAGGGGCAACUGGAAUUCUUGGUGUAGCGGUGAAAUGCGUAGAUAUCAAGAGGAACACCUGCGGCGAAGGCGGGUUGCUGGGCCGACACUGACGCUGAAGCGCGAAAGCCAGGGGAGCGAACGGG